rnacentral:lncRNA from 1 species
GUAAUGGAUUGUUAUAAUGCCUUCAUAGCUUUAUUGGAAUUUAUUAUUUUUAGCCAUUUGUUUUAUUCUAUUCAUUAUUACUGCAAGGUACUCGGAGGUAGGUGUGAGCCAGCUUCAGUCAGCUGACCGGCUGUGGCUAACUGCCAGAGUGGUCAGGAGCACUUGGCACGUCGGGGGAAUGUCAUCUGCAUGCAGAACACAUGGAGCCUGGAGCAGAGAAGACACCAGUCAUGGCCCGACAAGCACAGCUGCAGCCUUGGCUGGACUAGAAACAGGAGAGAGCUGGGAGGGGAGAGACUGGCUUUGAGGAAGAAUGAGAAGAUGCAUGGGAAUACCUGACAACAGCAGCAGAGGGCGAAGGUGUGGUGCCAGAGAGAGACCGGGAAGAAGGUCAGGGAGGGGUGUUGCCCUGUCCUGCAGAAGGGAGAUGUAUCCAUGAUGCUCUUCAGCUAGGACCAUGUCGUGGCUCAUCCUGCUGAAACUUCUGAUCCACAAAGCCAAUAUUUCCUGGAUCAUGAUGACAGACUGCAACUGUAUGUUUCUAACCUGCAGAAGGGGAAAGGAAGGAAAAGAGACACAACAUCUCCUCCUCUCCUGCAGCCAUUGCCCCUUAUUGUCUACGUUUGCUUCACAUCCCUGCCUCAACAUGCUCCAGCACAGCAAGAACUGUGUGCAAAUAUUAGCUUCCGGUUGCAUCUUUGGGGCAAACAGAGAUCUAGAAUUGAAUGCAAAUAGAGGUAAAUAUUGAGGUGCACAUGAGAGAUCCUUGCAAAUGGACGUGUGCUGCUUUAGGGCAUUCUGAAAAUUGUCUC